rnacentral:rRNA from 1 species
GAUGAACGCUGGCGGCGUGCCUAAUACAUGCCAGUCGAGCGAACGGACGAGAAGCUUGCUUCUCUGAUGUUAGCGGCGGACGGGUGAGUAACACGUGGAUAACCUACCUAUAAGACUGGGAUAACUUCGGGAAACCGGAGCUAAUACCGGAUGAUAUUUUGAACCGCAUGGUUCAAAAGUGAAAGACGGUCUUGCUGUCACUUAUAGAUGGAUCCGCGCUGCAUUAGCUAGUUGGUAAGGUAACGGCUUACCAAGGCAACGAUGCAUAGCCGACCUGAGAGGGUGAUCGGCCACACUGGAACUGAGACGCGGUCCAGACUCCUACGGGAGGCAGCAGUAGGGAAUCUUCCGCAAUGGGCGAAAGCCUGACGGAGCAACGCCGCGUGAGUGAUGAAGGUCUUCGGAUCGGAAAACUCUGUUAUUAGGGAAGAACAUAUGUGUAAGUAACUGUGCACAUCUUGACGGUACCUAAUCAGAAAGCCACGGCUAACUACGUG